CCUCCUGCUCUUUGCUCCGUGAGAAAGAUCCACCUACGACCUCAGGUCCUCAGACCGACUAGCCCAAGAAACAUCUCACCAAUUUCAAAUCUGACCUUUGCAAGAGGGUCCGAGACAUUUGCAUCAUCAUUCAGUGAGACCUGUAAACACAGCAUCUGCCUUUGACCACAUCCAUCUGGAAGAACCUGAGAGAUAAUCCAUUUUAUGAAAUUUUCCCUACCCUGAAAUGGGAGAAUGAAUCUAAUUUGAAGCACUGAGAAGGAUAAGGCAUCCAUUUGAAAAGGACUCCUAUAUUGCAACAUGAAUUCUGCUAAAAUUGAAGCAAGAACAAACAUCAAAUUUAUGAUGAAGUUUGGGUAGAAGAACGAUGAAAUUAGUGACGCUUUAUAAAAAGUUUAUUGGGACAAUACCCCAAAUGAAUCAGCAGUUUAAAAAUGGAUA